rnacentral:lncRNA from 1 species
UCUGUAUGUAAUAAUUCUAUCAUAUUCCUGCUUUUUUUUCCUAUUUAUUUAUGCGUUGAUUUUAUACUGUGUUUCAACUUUCAAAGGGGCCCUCGCUGAGAACACUAUUUUCAGAAUUCUAGAGACGAGUGAUUUGGUGCUGUCCACGUAGGCCUGUCUGCUCCACCAUGGCCUUUGUGAGUUGUGACGGCCAGCCUUGGCCGCGGAGAAGACCGGAGGAAACAAGUGAGUUGUUGCCCCCCAACAGUACGCACGCAAACACACAGCGACAACGCAGGGAAACUUCCUUGUCGAGCAGAGAGGAGGCCUCCCUGGC